rnacentral:rRNA from 1 species
UACGGGGGGAGCAAGCGUUGUUCGGAUUUACUGGGCGUAAAGGGCGCGUAGGCGGCCAGCACAAGUCAGUUGUGAAAUCUCCGAGCUUAACUCGGAGCGGUCAACUGAUACUGUGCGGCUAGAGUGCGGAAGGGGCAACUGGAAUUCUUGGUGUAGCGGUGAAAUGCGUAGAUAUCAAGAGGAACACCUGCGGCGAAGGCGGGUUGCUGGGCCGACACUGACGCUGAGGCGCGAAAGCCAGGGGAGCGAACGGG